rnacentral:rRNA from 1 species
CUGCUGCCUUCCGUAGGAGUUUGGGCCGUGUCUCAGUCCCAAUGUGGCCGUCCACCCUCUCAGGCCGGCUACUGAUCGUCGCCUUGGUGGGCCUUUACCCCGCCAACCAGCUAAUCAGACGCGGGUCCAUCCCAUACCACCUUGGUUUUCAAACAAAAAGCAUGCGCUUUCUGUUGUUAUGCGGUAUUAGCACCUAUUUCUAAGUGUUAUCCCCCUGUAUGGGCCAGGUUACCCACGCGUUACUCACCCCGUCCGCCACUAAGCCUUUCCCUUUUCCGU